UUUUUAUUGUAUUGCUAGGCACUUUCUUUUGCCUAAACCAUUAUGGAUUUUCUUUCUUUCUUUUUUUCUUUUUUUUAGCUCAGCUCAGCACAGUGCAGGGAUGACUUCUCCACAAAGAGUACAAGCAAUGUUUCUGCAACUGCAUAACAAUUAUGCAUGGAAAACUAAUGCUGCAUGACUAUUGGCUGCGCAGCUGUAGUUCGCGUGCUGAUUGGCUGAGUAAUACUGUGAUAGCUCGUGAGCAACAGCAGAUGUACCAGAAUUCUCCUGAGAUUGAUCUUUGAGCUUUUUCUCCUGAGCAAUUCUUAAGGUUUGUUUGCAUUUUUUGGUUGUACUUUUAAAGGUGCACUAUGCACCUAAUACUAUUCUCCUUAUAAUCCAACAUUUUGUAUUUUAUGGGGUUGACACUUUUUAACAAGUUUUGGCCGUAUUUUCAUUUA
rnacentral:lncRNA from 1 species